GAUGAACGCUGGCGGCGUGCUUAACACAUGCAAGUCGAACGAACAGUGAAGACGGAAACCUUCGGGCGGAAGGCUUUAUUUCGAGUGGCGGACGGUUGAGUACCGCGCUGUUAGCCUGCCUCAUACACGGGGAUAACAGUUGGAAACGACUGUUAAUACCGCAUAACACCACACCACCGCAUAGUACGGGGGUAAAAACUCCGGUGGUUUGAGACGGACCCGAGUUCGAUUAGCCAGAUGGAGGGGUAACCGCACACCAAAGCGACGAUCGAUAGCCGAGCUGAGAGAAUGACCGGCCACAUUGGGACGGAGACACAGCAGAAACUCCUACGGGAUGCAGGAGUGGGGAAUAGUGCACAAUGGGGGAAACCCUGAUGCAGCGACGCCGCGAGAGUGAAGAAGUAUUUCGGUAUGUAAAGCUCUAUCAGCAGGGAAGAAAAUGACGGUACCUGAGUAAGAAGCCCCGGCUAACUACGUG
rnacentral:rRNA from 1 species